GAGUUUGAUCGUGGCUCAGGAUGAACGCUGGCGGCGUGCCUAAUACAUGCAAGUCGAGCGAACAGACGGGGAGCUUGCUCCCCUGACGUUAGCGGCGGACGGGUGAGUAACACGUGGGUAACCUACCUAUAAGACUGGAAUAACUCCGGGAAACCGGGGCUAAUGCCGGAUAACAUGUUGGACCGCAUGGUCCUACAGUGAAAGACGGUCUUGCUGUCACUUAUAGGUGGACCCGCGCCGUAUUAGCUAGUUGGUAAGGUAACGGCUUACCAAGGCAACGAUACGUAGCCGACCUGAGAGGGUGAUCGGCCACACUGGAACUGAGACACGGUCCAGACUCCUACGGGAGGCAGCAGUAGGGAAUCUUCCGCAAUGGGCGAAAGCCUGACGGAGCAACGCCGCGUGAGUGAUGAAGGCCUUCGGUCGUAAACU
rnacentral:rRNA from 1 species